GUCUGGCAUGCCACGACCAGAAGCAUAACGGUAACCACCACGACUACCCCUUGGAAGCAUUUGCUGGUGGCCCAUUGGCAUUGGUUGCUGAAUUCCACCAGUGCCUGCACGCCUUCCAGCUGGACGUUGUGGUUGUUGACCUUGCUGGACCAUAGGCAUGACAAAAUUUGGAAUUGGUCCAACACUAGGCCUCAUACCAGGAAUGAGAUGUUGCUGGAAGCCAAAUCCAGGCUGAGGGUUAACAAAAGCUGGAGGUGGCU
rnacentral:misc_RNA from 1 species